UCUCGGCAACGGAUAUCUCGGCUCUCGCAUCGAUGAAGAACGUAGUGAAAUGCGAUACCUGGUGUGAAUUGCAGAAUCCCGUGAACCAUCGAGUCUUUGAACGCAAGUUGCGCCCGAGGCCAUCCGGCUAAGGGCAUGCCUGCCUGGGCGUCACG
rnacentral:rRNA from 1 species